rnacentral:lncRNA from 1 species
AUGGGCAGGGAUGUGCCCGCCGCACAUUUUGGGGCAGGAAUUCACGUCCUGAGAACCCCAGUCUCACUGCAGCAGAGCUGUCAAGGGGGCAUGGCCAGGAUUUUGGGGGGGAAGUGGAGCCAGAGGACACCUGGACCAGAGCAACCGGAGGUGUUUGCGGGGUCCCCAGGGAGCAGCAUCCCCGAGUGCGCUCCGGGAGCGGCAGGAUGGACUGUGGGUCCCAGCGUUUUCAGCUGUGCUCCGCACCUGCCAGGCAGCAGCUCUCGCUGUCUGCGGGGCUGGGAGCGAUGUCCAAGAGCAGCGCCCAGCAUGUGCAGAUGUCCCACCCCAGGACCACCUGCUGCACCUGAACCUGGCACCUCCCGCACUCCCAGGUGCUCCGAGCCUCGGCUCCCACCCCAGCUCCGGGCCCGCUGUCCCCUGUGCACUCUGCCUCCGACUCUCACCGUGUCCCGCGUCCCCCAGGCUGCUUUCGGGCACCACAAAUACCCGGGAAGCUCCUGCGGGCGAGCCCCGGGCCGGUCCCGUCCGAUCCCCUGGGGUUGUCACAGCCCCGGGAGAAUUUGCCUCCAUCUCUCCCCUUCUCACGACACUUGGCCGCUCCUCAGGAGGUGCCCGGGCAGGAGGUUCGGGCAGGGCAGGGAGCAGCAGGCGCGAGUCUGCACAGAUAUCUGGGGCUGCCAGACCUUGCUCCUCCUGGCCCGUGUGCCAUCCGUGCCAGGGACCACCGUGCUGCUCCCGCCCAGCUCCGUGGGGCAGGUCCCCGGGCUGGUGGAGGGGGUCCAGGGUCAAUGGAGGCAGCGGGCGAUGGGAGCUGCUCGGCACGUGUCUGAACAAGGCUCGUCCGGGGAAAAUGAAUGUACGUGCAGGAGCUGGGCCAACAGCAGGCGCAGGGCCCUGGCAGCCCCGGCUGAGCUGACUCACCGGCCGGGCUCCCUCCCGGAGCAGCGGCAGCGCGGCACCUCCGCACAGUGGGUCCCGGUCCUGUCCUGGGCAGCAGAGGCUCUGAGGGCUUGGGGAGGGGUUUUCUGGGCUGCACGGUGCAGGAUUGGGCCCCGAGGUCUGGUGGUCCCAGUGGCACAGGGCUGGGGAAGGCUGUGGGUGUGCUUUGGGGUCUGCAUGUUGUCUUGUGCCGAUCUUGUUUGCCGGGGGGAGCAGGGUGGCCUGGUCUGGGUGCUGUGCAUGUGGCAGCGACCCUGA